rnacentral:tRNA from 6 species
UCCAAUGUGGUGUAGUGGUUAACAUUGCUGUCUUUCACACAGCAGCCCGGGGUUCGAUUCCCCGCAUUGGAA